rnacentral:rRNA from 1 species
AAGGGUGUUCACCUCUUCCCAUACCGAACAGAGAAGUUAAGCCCCUUAUGGCCGAUGGUACUGCACCACAAUGCGGGAGAGUAGGUAGCUGCCAUAU